rnacentral:rRNA from 1 species
AAAAUUUAAUAAUUUGACUGUAAAUAUUUCCUAGAGGAACCUGUGACUUAAUCGAUAUUACACGAACUAUUUCACUUAUAUUUAUCUUGUAUACCUCCGUAAAGAUUUUAUUAUAAAUUUAACUAUCUAAUAAAUUAAUAUUAAUAUAUCAGGUCAAGGUGCAGUUUAUAUAAGUUGUUAUGUGUUACAAUGAAAAUUAUAAGUAAAUUUAAUUUGAAAAAAUUAAAGAAAAUGAAUUUAUAAGUAAAAAAAUUUAUAAUAUUUUUUUGAAAAUAAAAUAUUUAUGUACACAUCG